rnacentral:misc_RNA from 1 species
ACAAACUUGGUCAUUUAGAGGAAGUAAAAGUCGUAACAAGGUCUCCGUUGGUGAACCAGCGGAGGGAUCAUUAGAGAGUUUUCAACUCCCAAAACCCACGCGAACAUACCUCACGUUGCCUCGGCAGGCCGGGGGGCCCCCGCGCCCCCCGCCCCCUGCCGGCGGCCCCACGAACUAUUGUCGUCGUCUUGCGAAUUCUGAGUCACAAAAAAGAAAAUACGUUAAAACUUUCAACAACGGAUCUCUUGGCUCUGGCAUCGAUGAAGAACGCAGC